GCGCUGGUCGAAGUCCUGGCCGUGGAUGAUCCGCAUCUGCUUCAGGAAGGUGGACUUGCCGCUCUCGCCCGCGCCCAGCAGCAGGAUCUUCACCAGCCGCUUCACAUCAGGCCAGAACACCUGAAAAAGAGACUCCUGGGGAACACGUGACUAGUGACAGCUGAAUGACUGUAGCAAGGACCUCAGAAGCCAACUUCUUCAUUCUUGUCAGUUUCAAAGUUGAUGCCUGUCUGGUUUUGCUCCUGGGACCUGACUCGUGUGCAACUUGGGAACUUCCUGUGUGUUAGGGAGUUGGGGUAAAGAGGUCAACACCGUGACAUGCACAAGUUUAAAAUUUUAAAAACCAGCACUAUAAGUCAGUCCAUCAGUUACUGUCCAUUUGGGCCAAUGACUGGGUAGCUCACGACUCACUCACUACACUGGCUGCAGUAAACAAUACAUGUAGUAGAAUUGUCUCCUGUUACAUCCACUGAGACCGCGAGCGGACCUGAGCCCACAGAGUAGGCUGUGUGCAAAGUAGGCUGAGCUCGCAUCCAGCAUCUGUGGAUUGCUAAAGUCAGGACUGAUUUGUGACCAAAGUCUGUCAUAGAUGGUUGAUCUCUGUAUAUACCUUGAUCACUGUUAGGGAUACCCUGUUCUAGGGCCGUGAAAAGGCCAGCUUCUACCCAGGACAGGUAGACACCAAGGCCCUGAAUUACCUCCAUGUUCUAGUCCGAAUUCAUUAGCAGAAACAGAGGAGGGAAAUGCGUACGUUAGAUUAAGCAUCUUCGUUUUCCUGAGGUGUACACAACAGAGUGGAAAAGCAAGGAUGCCUAGGAGGCAGGAAGGGAUUCCUGCCUGGCCAGUUCUUGUCGGGACAUGUAACACAGCAGGGAGGCUGUUCAAAGUCCUGAGUGGAACCUCGCCUUGGAACAAAUUUGGCUCGGGUUGAGCCUGGCUGCCCUAAUCAGGGUUUCUGAAAAGAAACGUUUAAAGCCCGGGCUGGGGUUUGGCUGCUUUGUGUAACUGGUGAUCAAGACACUUUGUAAAUCAUAAGCAUAAAAGUGAGUCCGUUUAGUGGUUCUUCAAAAGCUAAACAUAGAACUACCACGUGACCAGGCAGGUCCACUCCGAGGUGUGUACCCUCAGAAAACCCAGCACGCUGCUCAGGCAAAAACGUGGACACCCAUGGUCCUGGCAGCGCUGUUAAGAACAACAACAAAAUAAAUGAAUACCACUUAAGACGA
rnacentral:lncRNA from 1 species